rnacentral:tRNA from 1 species
CCUCUUUAUGAGAAAGAAGCAUAAGUGGUCUAUGCGGUUGGCUUGAAACCAACAUAUGGGGGUUCGACUCCUUCCUUUCUUG